GGGGGCUUAGCUCAUCGUAGGUAGAGCACUUGCCUUGCAAGCAAGAGGUGGCCGGUUCGAGCCCGGCAGUCUCCAC
rnacentral:tRNA from 5 species